rnacentral:piRNA from 1 species
UGGGAAGUGAUCACUACCAUAAGUGGAGU